CCCAGUUAGGAAAAUUAGUAUAAACUCCUAACUUCUCAUGGUUAUCAAGGCACAGCAAUGUUAGGCAAUAGCAGGUCCAUUUAAUCUGCAAUAGGAAACCUUCACUUUUCUAUGAAAGACUCGGGACAUUACUUUUAAUAAGAGGAGGUAUUUCAUAGAUACCAGUCUUAGCUUAACUUAAGUGAUCUUGAUGACAGCAUAUAAAUUGACUUAGUAAUUAUCUCCCAUGGUAUACCUGGAAAGUAGGAUAUAGACAUACAUAUGGAUUCGCUGUGAUUGAGAGAAAACAACUGAUGCUAAGAGUCAGAUGGAAGGGGAACGGGGUGUCAUGGGAUCAGAUGUGGAGGAAGCCUAUAUCUGAACCCAGACUUGCUGAGAAGUCCUAUGGAUUCCAAGAUAAAGACCAAAACGUGAGGGUUAUAUUGCCUUUGUUCUAAUGAAAAACACAUCACUUGAUUUGGAGAUUGGUUUUUCUCCUUAAGCUUGAAGGAGUCUUCACACGAGCUCAUGAAAUAAGGGCUACUGAAAGCUAAGAUGGAGGGUGAACUUGACAUUGGUAGGAAUUUUAUCAAAAAACUUUGACAGCAGUUCUGUGUGUCAGCCCACACAGAAAACAGCAUGAUGUUAAGAUGAACUUACUAAAGGUAAAUGCAGGGAAGUGGUGUAUGGUGGUUUGUUUUGGUGACACAGGAGUAAAACUAGAAGAAUUGUUAGAAACACAGUGAGUGGAUCCCUUAGGCUUUCCAUUUUCUUGAAGGUGCUGUGGAAAAUGAUCACAGUGGUAAUUCUUUUACUCUUAGUUGAAAGAAGAUCCAGGGCUAUACAUAUAAAGUCUGAGGCUUGAAGAUGACAGAUGAUGUCCUCUGAAAGCUGAAGAGCCUGCCUGGGUUCUUGUCUGAGUGAAGGAGUGGAAGUGGACUGCUGGCACCCACAGGCAGGGCAAGGCUCGCCUCAAGCAACAGUUCACGUCUGUUCAAAUAUUUGAACGAGUUUCCAGCUAUAGCGUGAUAGUUCACGCUAAACAUGGAAAAGAUGCCUAACCUGUUCUUGUAGCAGUUUUUUAAUUCGUCCUGUGGUCUGCCAUGCUCUGUGUAACUGCCGUGUAAGAGUUGUAUGUGUCUGCAGUCAUUAACUUAUCUAAAACGAGGUGGCUUUUCUUGAGCAGCCUCUGUGUAUUAGACCCAGUACUGAGGGUGUUGUGUGCAUUACUGCUAUAGUCCCCAGGAAGGCAGCUAAUGUAAUUAGAUGAGGGGACUGAGGCUCCAAUUUGCCCGAGGUCACAUAGUUAACAAACAGGUGAGAAUUGGAAUUGAGGCCUGUGCUCUUUCCUGUAUUGGAUUGGCCUGGAUCGCCAGUAUUCUAGACUGGGAAAUGGCUCAAGUGUUGAAUUGAGGGACAUACAGGUUUCUUUACCUUUGUGGCUCUUGGAGGGAGGACCCAGGCAACCAGUUGAGUCAAUCAGUUGUGCAGGAUGUAUAAUAUUUUUCAUUGGUAGAGUUCUGUACAGGUGGGCAUCACCGUUGGGUCUGACAUAAGAGGAAGGGGACCUGGAGGUGAGGUAGUUCUGGAAGAUAGAGGUCAUACUGUUGUGAAACUUGUCUCAAGUGCGCUAGUUUGCAGAGGUUUUUUUGCAGAGGUUUUAUCAGACAGGGUGCUGGCAAGCUGUGCUCAUGUUGAGGCCAUUGACUCUUCUCUGGAUAGCUGGCUCUGUGGCCUCAGAUCUGCUCACAGCUAUGUCCUGUCCCUCAGGAAAUGUGGGAAGAGAUCCAAGAGGCCUUUUUCACACAUCACACUCUUACCAAGGUCCAGAACUAAGUGGGCUUCCUGUUGUAGGGGCUGUGGCUCCCACUGAGACCCUGUUACAGAGGAUGUUGGAAGGCAUGAAUGGACACCUAUGAUCUAAAACUCGGGUCCAAGCCCUGGUCAGUGUCUCCUUUGAUGAUAAGUGAAUGGUGUUGAGAUAGACUAGGUGCAAGGAGCAGCUGGGUGAGUGCUUGCUUUAAAACCCUUUUAGUAAAGGGACCCUCGAAACAGCCUGGCAUUGAAAGGGGCCCAUGACAGGAUUCCUUCAAUACCAGGUGUGUUAGACUCCCUUAAAAGUCUAAAGUCAGUGUCACCUGGCCCAGCUGCUCUCUGAGACGUGACUUGGGGAACUGGAUUAAAAACCCACUCUGUUCAGUGUUCUGACAGUGAUGUGGAGAGGUGGCCAGAGGCAGGACUGGCUUUCAGGUGAUGGUUAUUAUUUCAGAAACUUCCUCAUCAAGUUCUGCAUUUCUCUGGCAUCAGUUGUUUUAACGGCAGCUGCUUGCAUGAUGGGCAGCACUCAGGAUCUACCCCUGAACACAGGAGUCUGGGGAGAAUGCUAGAGAAGAAUGUCAAACCUCCCUCCCAUGUGGGGCUCGGGCUGCUGUGACAGCUGAACCCACUGUGGCAUGUCUAGUGAGUCUUUGUUGAAAAGACUAGGAAAAACUUAAAAGUAGUAUUAAAAUUAAAUAUUAUAGGUAAAUAUAAAAAACUGAGUGAAUGAAAUAAUUUUUAAUAAAUCUGAUCCACUUAAAAUAAGCACUUUUUAAAUGAUAACAUUGAGUGCUUAUAGGAGGUUCAAUUCCUUGCUGCUGAUAACGUGGAAAUGGAGCUAGUCAGCCUCAGGCAGAUCCAUCUGGGUUCCACCAAGAGCAAGAUUAGCAGAAGUCCAGACUUU